rnacentral:rRNA from 1 species
GACGAACGCUGGCGGCGCGCCUAACACAUGCAAGUCGAACGAGCGAGAGAGAGCUUGCUUUCUCGAGCGAGUGGCGAACGGGUGAGUAACGCGUGAGGAACCUGCCUCAAAGAGGGGGACAACAGUUGGAAACGACUGCUAAUACCGCAUAAGCCCACGACCCGGCAUCGGGUUGAGGGAAAAGGAGCGAUCCGCUUUGAGAUGGCCUCGCGUCCGAUUAGCUAGUUGGUGAGGUAACGGCCCACCAAGGCGACGAUCAGUAGCCGGCCUGAGAGGGUGAACGGCCACAUUGGGACUGAGACACGGCCCAA